rnacentral:rRNA from 1 species
UACGUAGGCAGCAAGCGUUGUUCGGAGUUACUGGGCGUAAAGAGUGUGUAGGCGGUUCUCUAAGUUCGGUGUGAACUCUCCCGGCUCAACUGGGAGGGUGCGCCGAAAACUUGAGGGCUUGAGUAUGGGAGAGGAAAGCGGAAUUCCUGGUGUAGCGGUGAAAUGCGUAGAUAUCAGGAGGAACACCUGCGGUGUAGACAGCUUACUGGACCACGACUGACGCUGAGGCACGAAAGCGUGGGUAGCAAACAGG